rnacentral:rRNA from 1 species
UGACUAGUGAAUACAUAGCUAGCAAGAGGUAGACGCAGUGAACUGAAACAUCUUAGUAGCUGCAGGAAGAGAAAGAAACAUCGAUUCCCUGAGUAGCGGCGAGCGAAAAGGGAAGAGCCCAAACCAACAAGCUUGCUUGUUGGGGUUGUAGGACUGAACAUUAGAGUUACCAAAGUGCGACGUAGUCGCAACAGUUGGGAAGCUGUGCCAUAGAGGGUGAAAGCCCCGUAGACGAAACGUCGCACUCUCUGUUCAG